rnacentral:lncRNA from 1 species
AGGUUCCAGGAGCAAGAGGCAUUUAGAAGAGGCGUGUGAAGAAGGCGGCUCAGCAGACGCGAAAAGACGAUGCUCUGUGACCUGCAGGUGCUCCUCCUCUCAGGCACAUUCUCUCAGCAGUGGAAGAGCAGCUUCUCCAGGCACUUUCCUGAGCAGCAGUGAAUGCCUGGAUAAUGACUUGGAUGAUGCCAUCCUGGCUCGUUCUGAUGAGGAAAAGCCAGAUUCUCCCACCGGACUCUCUCGUGAAGCUGAGGAUGAGCUCAUAGCAGAGGAUCUGGAAACCUCCCCAUGUUUUGUAGCAGUGGAAGUAACUAGAUAUGAGGAUGUGAAGAGUGGUAGCCUUUUAGCUUGUCCUGAAUCUGCACAGCCUCUGAGGGCUCUGGAUGAGGUUGAAAGCACAAAACCUCUUCCUCAGGCCAGUUCUUCAGCCAGCUCAAGUGAGGGGGCUGUUUUCACGAAUGAUUUGGAGAAGUCCUUGAAUAAGAGCUCUCAAAAUCAAGUAGAGUUUGGUGCAAAUUACAAUAGUCUUAGGAUUCCAGAAGCUGGUUCAGACGUAACAGCUUCUUUGAAUCUGGAGAGAGGUCUGUCUGGAAAAAUAGAUAACGAAGCAAUAAAGACGGAGACCAAUGAUUUGCCAGUAGGAAGCCAACUAGUGGCUGAACAGGAAUCAUUUGGUGCAGUGGCUGAACAGUCCUCAGGGAGAGAGACUUCCUUAAGUUACAAGCAGCUAAGAGGCACGAAUUCAAGCAACCCUCUACCUGACUUGCAUGCAGUAUUCACUCAUGUCAAUGGCCAAAGAAAGGAUUGUGUGGAAGUUCCUGAUGUUAAAAAAACAAAUAGGCAGGAAGUGUCUAAAGAAGCAAAGAGGAAGCUACAACCUUCAAUUUGUCAACCCCUGAGCAGUACGGAAGACUCCAUUUUGUGUGUGGAAUCAAGUUUUGCAAAGCCUAAACGGAUAUUAAUUCAAGAAGCCGACCUUGAGUCAAGAAAAGCAAGAUAUGUCAAUGCUGUACUUAACCAUGCUAGCUCGGUCCCAUCACUCAUAGGCCCCGUCCAUGAGUUGCACACGCUGGUAGAUACAGUCGCAUCUGAAUCCAGUUACAACCACCCAACAGACUUGACCGUAAGGAACUACACCAAACGGAGUCACAGCAAAACUCAGAGGUUCAGUCUCAGCCAGUGGGUUGAGCAUAGCAGGCGCAACUUCGGUCGGUUUGAUGGCAUUCCUGAUCACUUUGAGCGCAGCCCCAUCCUAAGUUAGAGGAGAUUUUAUCCAAAGUUGUCCUUUAAAUGUUUAGGUACCAGUAGUUCGAUUUAAUUAGUGUUUGUGCAUGUUUACCAUUAAUAUAAAGGCCAGUUUAAUGUAUUUGUUUUUUAUUACAAAUAUUUGUUCACUUUGUCCUAGAUCUUUUUCACUGCUGAAUAUUUUAGAAAUAUUGUGUUUUUACUAUUCUAUUUGAUACUGCACCUUGAAUAUAUUAUAAAUGUUUAUUUUAAAAUUCUGGAAUCUAUUAUCCUU